GGAGGAUCACGACUGUGAGGUCCCCAUAACUGAUAGUAUGACCUUGACACACACACACACACACAAACUGUCUUUCAGCUACCCGGAGAGAAUGCCAUUUUAUUCGGUGGCACAGAGUGAAAGGAGAGGAGGGUAGGGGUGUGGUUCAGCCUAGAAUACCUGCCUAGAAUACUCCAUCCAGUCAGGGGCUAGAGAAGAAAACAUAAUUUUAAAAUAAUUAUCGAGAGAUGACUCACUGAGUUGCUUCUAAGUCUGAGGAUCUCAGAUGUCCAGAAGCCACGUGGUGGAAGGAGAGAGAGACCCAAAUUCCAGAAGCUAUCUUUGGACUUCCUUGGACAUGGACACUAAGGCCUAUGCAUCCACAGUAAACAGGUGCAAACUUUGUUCCAAAUAAAAUAACUGACAGAAGGGACCCCGAAUGUUUACUCAUAGGCGCACAGUUCACAGUAGCCCACAGCCGAAACAAUGCAAGUGUCAGUCAGCAGAUGUUAGUGGAUAAACACAAUGGACCUCUCUGGAGCUGAGUACUGUUCAGUCACUAGAAGGACUAAGUAGCCAGGCCUCUUGCAGCACCAACCAACCCAGCACUGAAGAUGUGGAGGUGCAGGGGUCAGUGGGGACCAUCUCCUGUCCCAGCUGGGCUCUUGGCCCACCUUCCUCCAGAGUGGAGUAGGCAGACCAGAAGGGUGCAAGCAAGGGGUUACUUUAGUGUCAGUUUCCGAUUAGCAACUUGACAAUGGUAUUAAACCCCCUUGGAACCGACUGUCAUUCUGGCUUUAGAUGAAGGUUUGAAGUCCUGGUGGCAGUGAAUACGGCUCCCUGAGCAACAGGUAUUUCAGAGUUGUGGUCAGAGGAGUUCUCACCCUUAGCUGAAGCACCGUGUCUCUCUGAAGCUGAGGAAAUGAGCUUCCUGUCAGGAGGGGUUUGGGGGCGGGCGGUCUCAGGCACAAUUCAGCCAGCACCUUCUCAGAAAGGCAGUCUUCCCUUUCCCCUCUGUGGAGUUCCAGGCAUCCUGUAAGCUGGAGCCUAGGGUUCUGGAGGGCCAGCUGGAUGAAUGUGGGCGCACAAUGAAGGUGAAAAAAUAAGAAAGAGGGCUCAGGCCUGGUGGCGAGGCUAAGAACCCCAAGCCCACCAAAAGUUCCUGGCUUGGCAUGGAGAGAUGGCUCAGUUAAAAAUGCUUGCUGCUGGGAUGUGAAGUCCAUCUGGCUUUGACAUCUGUCACCCCAUUGGUCACCAGGGUUGAUUCGGCUGAUCUGGCUGGGUAGGCGGGUUUCCCCUUCUCU
rnacentral:sRNA from 1 species